rnacentral:lncRNA from 1 species
AGGUCCUUUCCCCAGGUGCUCAAUCAGUGGUUCAGGCCAGGACUCAACAGUUACCGUACAGAGAAUAACUCACCUAUUUGCUUUCUUAUCUUGAACAGAACCAUUUUUAACUUUACACUGGUGUACCUGAGAGGAAGAACAAUGCUUUGAGCCCCCAGAUUAUGUGUAAAGCACAGGAAACAGUCCUCUAAUGAAUGGAAUGUUUUUUAUUAAAUUACUUCUAGUUAAAAUGGAUCAUGGGAAAUGUACUGUUGAGAAAAACUCAGUUGUGGCUUGAAGCAGUGAUUGAGCACCUGGUGGGAGGCAGGGCCAACCCAGGGGACCUCAGGUGCGUGCAAUGUACCUGAGUGAUUGGAAGGGGUGGAGCCAGGAUCCAACCUUCCCAGACCUCAUUUAAAGGUUGGCAGUGGAGGUGAGGGUGUUUUGUUGGAGAUCCAUCCUUAGCUGAGGUCUUCUAAGGGGGUGGGAUUACAAAUCUGUAUGGAGCAGUGGGGACUUGGUGCUUUCUCUUUCUCACAGAGGUUUACAUAUAUAAGUUGCUGUUACUUUGUUUUCCUGGAAGACUUGGGUAGUAUAUGAGUCAACAUCCAGUUGUUAUUGACAUUUUGUGCCUUUUAAAUAGGAAGUGUGUGGUGCAGGCUUUAUAUGUAUCAAUUGGUAUAUCCAACAGAAACAAAGCAGAAAUUGUUUAACUGUAAGAUAUUGUGAAUGUGCUGUCUAAUGAGAUUACAAGUGCAAGCUAGUAUACGUUCAUGAAAGUAGAGGAAUUCAGAGACAGAAGUUCAGAAGCAGAGGCAUCUGUGUAUCUCUUUCCUAGAUAGCCUUUUCUUCUAGACAUUUAUUCUUGAAAUUGAAUGUAAAAGUGUGUUCUUCAUUCUGCAAUCUGUAGUUCACUGUGAUACUCUCCUAAAGAUGCUCAAUGUCACUACACGAUGUUUUGUUGUUUAAGACCACAAAGACUUAUGUGGUUAUGUGCCAAAAGCAGCUGAGUUACAUGAGAUGUAAGAAAAAAAAGGAAAGCUUACAAAAGAGGGUGGGAUACGAUUUCUCAAUUUCUAUGUAAGAUGUUUAAGUGCAUCUCCAAGCAGUGCAAGUGUGAACUUCUGCUGCAAUCAAUACACAAACAACAUGCCAUGAUAAUAAAAAAGACAUUGUGUUUUUCU